rnacentral:rRNA from 1 species
AUGCACAAGGCCACGGCCGAGGCGCGGCGAGCCCUGGAGGCCCGAGGCAGCGUAGAGGAGCACGCCCUCGGCAAGCUCCCGUACCUGCAGCUGGUAAUCCAGGAGGCGCUGCGGCUGCACGCGCCCACGCCGCUGCUCAUCCGGCGGGAGUGCCGGGAGCCAUGCCAGGUGCUCGGCUACGACGUGCCGCGGGGAACGCAGGUGUUUGUCAACGCAUGGGCGAUAGCACGCGACGGGCGGUACUGGCCCGACGCGCCGGAGCGGUUCGAGGGCGAGGGCGCCGUGGACUUCAGGGGCAACGACUUCUCCUUCCUUCCAUUCGGCUCCGGCCGGAGGAUGUGCCCGGGGAUGGCGUUCGGCCUCGCCAUCAUCGAGCUCACGCUCGCGAGCCUGCUGUUUCACUUUGACUGGGUGGUCUUGCCGGGUGCGGUGGGCGAGCUCGACAUAAACCCCAAAUUUAUUCCAUAUGAGUCCACCAUACCUUCCUAUAUGCGGUAUCUAUCUGCCGUUUCAUGUAAAUUUCUAUGUACCAAACUCUAA